AGACUGUUUGCUAGACGGGUGACAUUUGUGAAAAAGUACGAAGCAGAGGCAGCCAUCGACGGGACAAGUGAGUACAUUUUUCCAUUAAAAUGUACUCCAAACACGACUAAACUACAUCGAAUCAACUUACUAAGCUGAUAUGCAUGUGAAAUAAUUUCCUAAAAGUGAAAGCUUGAGUGAACUUGUUGGAAUUCAUCGAGAAAACGAAAUAUUUAUUUUGCAAAAAAGUGGGAGUUGUCACGUAGGUUGAAAGUGUAACAGAAUGGAAGAUAUUUUUCACUGGUGCCGCGAGGGCAAUUCCAUUCAGGUGCGUCUAUGGUUGGACGAUACCGAACAUGAUAUGAACCAAGGUGACGAUCAUGGUUUCAGCCCGUUGCAUUGGUGCGCCAAGGAGGGUCACACCAAGUUGGUCGAAAUGCUACUACAUCGUGGUGCCCGAGUUAAUGCUACUAAUAUGGGUGACGACAUCCCGCUCCACUUGGCCGCGGCUCAUGGGCAUCUGGAGAUCGUUCAAAUGUUAAUACGUCACCGUUCGGAUGUUAAUGCGGCCAACGAACACGGCAACACCCCACUCCACUAUGCUGCCUUCUGGGGUUAUCAACCAAUCGCAGAAGAGCUGGUUAGCAACGGUGCUUUGGUUUCACUGGCUAAUAAGGAUGGUGAUACACCUCUGGAUAAAGCCAAAGCGCAACUAGCCACGCGCAUACACAAUUUGGCAGUGGAAAGUGGACAGGAGUUGAAGAAAAUUAGCUUCAAGGAUCAGAGUUGGUUGGGCAUGAAAACACGCUCACGAGACGCUACGUUGUCUCGGUACAAGGGCAUCAACAUCAAGGACCUGAUGCUACACACCAAGCUAGCCAUCACGCCGGGCGGUGAAACCUGGCGCGGUAGAUGGCAAAAUAAUGACAUUGUUGCUAAGAUACUAGCGAUUCGAGAUUGCAAUUCGCGUGUUAGUCGAGACUUCAACGAAGAAUUCCCGAAACUAAGAAUCUUUUCGCAUCCGAACAUUUUGCCUGUAAUUGGUGCUUGCAAUGCCCCGCCCCGACUGAUCGUGAUUAGUCAGUAUAUGCCUAGGGGAUCGUUAUACGAUCUACUGCAUGGUGCUGCCGGGAUUGUUGUCGAUACUGCACAGGCUGUACGAUUUGCACUGGACAUGGCUCGCGGUAUGGCAUAUUUGCACUCCCUGGAAAGAAUUAUACCGGAGUAUCAUCUGAAUAGCUUCCAUGUUAUGAUUGACGAUGACUUGACGGCCCGUGUGAACAUGGCGGAUGCGAAGUUCUCGUUCCAGGAGCGUGGUCGAGUUUACCAGCCGGCUUGGAUGAGUCCAGAAAUGCUACAGAAAAAGCGCAGCGAUCGUAACUGGGAAGCGUGCGAUAUGUGGAGUUUUGCUAUUUGCAUCUGGGAGCUGGCAACGCGAGAGGUUCCUUUCGCCGAUCUUUCACCAAUGGAAGCUGGAAUGCGCAUCGCUACGGAGGGUUUACGAGUAACUAUUCCGCCCGGAACAUCACUACACCUGUGCAAAUUGAUUAAAAUUUGCAUGAAUGAAGAUCCGGGUAAACGUCCCAAAUUUGACAUGAUUAUACCGAUCCUCGAAAAGAUGAAGCGUUAGGUGUCGGAUUGAAAAUAAUCUGUUCCAUUUGAAGAACGGAGGAAAUGUGCCUUCCAAUACCGUUUCUUAUUUGUUUUGUCGUUAACAGUCUAAACAAGGACAGACUUUUACUCUGCUAAAACGUAACAGUGUGCUGAAAUAAUUAACAAUCCAGAAACACAAGGUUUUUUUCCCCUAGUGUACAAAUGACAAUAAGUAACAUUCAAUUCUCAAUUCUAGUUAUCGUUUACGUGUUGUUUCGUUUUUUAAUGAUUUCCAAACAAAUCAUUAAAAUGUUUAUUUUUAACAAUGUGUAAUUCGGAACCAUACAACACCCAAAUCAUUCAUGUUUCCGUUGAUGUUCACAGUCAAGUAACAUAUAAAACAAGCAGUGUCUUACGAAAAAAGUAGUAUUAAUACGGAUUUUAAACGAUGAUCGUGUCCUGGAAAGAACACAAUUAACUGGAAUUAAUUGUAGCAAGUGCAUGUUCGUAGAACUAAAACAUAGAAAUCGUAAUUUUUUUAGGAACAAUAUGUGAUCGGAUAACGAAAUCCUUUUGUCAAGUGGCUAUUUUUGUUAAACCAAAGGAAAUACCGGAAACGUGGGCUCUUCAAGGAAAAAAGUAUAAACGCGUGUGGUCUCUAGUAGCUAACAGAACGGAAUGAAAAAGUCUUUGUUUCUCUUUAUUAUAGAUAAACUAAUGAGCAGCAGUGUUGCCGAUUUGGUAGCUUCAACCAUCGUUGCUAUUCGAUCCCAUAGGUUCAACAAUUUUAGAUUUCAGUCUGACCAAUUUUGGUUCUGCAGAUGGCGAGCCGGCUGGAUUUUGGACGAGUAGCUUGUCUGUCACUCAGCAGUCACCAGCCAAGUUUCACUCGCGUUCCGUAAUACAACAUUUUGCUCGCCUCGGACGCAGUCACUAACGAGGCGAGGCGAAGGCUCCACUCGUCUUCUAAAAAAGGGACCGUAUUCUCAAUUUCUUGGCGGAGAAGGAACAUGAUUAGCUUGAUUUAAAAAACUUAUGCUUCGUUUUGUUAUAUUUAUAUCAUUAUUUGGUUAUAGUUUUCUUUCGUUCCCUGUUCCUUAUCAAAUGAACAAGAGAAUCGAUGGAUCUUGUAGUUAGGCUGAUACAAAUUUCGAAUUCUUUUUAUGUCCAAGGUUAUCAAAGUUAGCAAAGGGGCUGGCGAAAAUUAAAUAAAACCGAGACGAAAAAAAAAGA